AAACUGCUCCCCGCUCCUGCAGCACCGGCCUCGGUCGCGCUGACUCUGGCCUGGUGUCCGUGUCUCUUGCUAUCUCUCUUUCUCUCAAGAUCUCUGCGCCUGUCUCCAUGUCUCUUUCUCUCUGUGCACCUAGGAUUUUCCGAGCACCCACCCCGGUGCCCCGCGGGCCCCGGCUGGGGGCAGGGCCCCCAACGCGUGCAGCGACACAAUCAGUGGAGCGCUCCCCACCCUCACCCCACCCCCAGCCCCUUUAGACCCACAGCUGAUGAGGCACGUGGAGUGGCAGAGAUGGAAGAGGGGAGGGAGAGGAAUCGUUCCUGGCCGCCUGCCGAGUGCCAGUCCCUGCCCCGGGUGCGUCUCUUCACUCCCACUAAGGAGGAAACGGCUCAGAGAGGGGAAGUGUUUGGCCAAGGUCACCCAGCGAGAGCCUUACUGCCUUUGUACCCCACUCGGGCCAUGGGCUCCCCGUUUCCUCUGGUGAACCUGCCUACACCCCUAUACCCCAUGAUGUGCCCCAUGGAACACCCCCUUUCUGCUGACAUCGCCAUGGCCACCCGUGCAGAUGAGGACGGAGACACGCCUCUCCAUAUUGCUGUGGUGCAGGGUAACCUGCCAGCUGUGCACCGGCUGGUCAACCUCUUCCAGCAGGGGGGCCGGGAGCUCGACAUCUACAACAACCUACGGCAGACACCGCUCCACCUGGCUGUGAUCACCACAUUACCGUCUGUGGUCCGGCUCCUGGUGACAGCUGGUGCCAGCCCCAUGGCGCUGGACCGCCAUGGCCAGACGGCCGCUCACCUGGCGUGCGAGCACCGCAGCCCGACCUGCCUGCGAGCCCUGCUGGACAGCGCAGCUCCGGGCACGUUGGACCUGGAGGCCCGCAAUUAUGACGGGCUCACCGCCCUGCACGUGGCAGUGAACACCGAGUGCCAAGAAACCGUGCAGCUCUUGCUAGAGCGCGGUGCCGACAUCGACGCAGUGGACAUUAAGAGCGGCCGCUCCCCGCUCAUCCACGCCGUGGAAAACAACAGCCUUAGCAUGGUGCAGCUGCUGCUGCAGCACGGCGCCAACGUGAACGCGCAAAUGUACUCCGGCAGCUCCGCCCUGCACUCAGCGUCCGGCCGCGGGCUCCUCCCGCUGGUGCGCACGCUGGUCCGCAGCGGCGCUGACAGCAGCCUCAAGAACUGCCACAACGACACGCCGCUCAUGGUGGCGCGCAGCCGCAGGGUGAGCCGGGGCAGCUGUGGACAUGCCCCUUGCACACGUGUGUCCGCGGGCUGGUUGCAGGCGAGUGUGCCAGAGCGCAGAGGAGUGAGGGUGUCUGUGCCGUUGCGUGGAGGGGAGUGGGUGAGCCUCUGAAAGCGCGGGUGUGAGUUCCAGAAAUGAGGAGAGACUGGCACCAAGAAAAAAAGUGCCUUGCCCAUCUUUUCCUACUGAGAAAUGGAGAGGCCACCACCUGGAUCCAGUGAGCUAGGAGGGAUAGGAGAGAGGACUGUGAGGCAUGGGUGGCUCUAUGGUCACGCCCAUCUUCCUAUAGGUCAUCGACAUCCUGAGGGGGAAGGCCACCCGGCCUGCUUCCACCUCCCAGCCAGACCCCUCCCCUGACCGGAGCGCCAACACCUCCCCCGAGAGCAGCAGCCGCCUCAGCUCCAAUGGUCUUCUCUCCACAUCACCAUCCUCCUCACCCUCCCAGUCUCCCCCCAGGGACCCCCCU
rnacentral:sRNA from 1 species